GAUGAACGCUAGCGGCAGGCUUAACACAUGCAAGUCGAGGGGCAGCAGGAGUAGCAAUACUUGCUGGCGACCGGCAAACGGGUGCGGAACACGUACGCAAUCUACCUCCUUCAGGGGCAUAGCCCGGAGAAAUCCGGAUUAACUCCCCAUAAGCUAGUGAAGUGGCAUCACUUAGCUAUCAAAACUCUGGUUGAAAGAGAUGAGCGUGCGUCCCAUUAGCUAGUUGGUAGGGUAAUGGGCUACCAAGGCAACGAUGGGUAGCUGGUGUGAGAGCACGACCAGCCACACGGGCACUGAGACCCUGGCCGACUCCUACGGGAGGCAGCAGUGAGGAAUAUUGGUCAAUGGACGCAAGUCUGAACCAGCCAUGCCGCGUGAAGGAUGAAGGCGUUCUGCGCUGUAAACUUCUUUUAUCUGGGAAGAAACCUACCUUUUCUAAGGUAGCCGACGGUACCAGAGGAAUAAGCACCGGCUAACUCCGUGCCAGCAGCCGCAGUAAUAC
rnacentral:rRNA from 1 species